CUUGUGUGCACGUGUGUGUGCGUAACACACAAACCAGGGGGCAUCGCUAAUAAAUCAAAUAUCGUGAUAAAUUCAGGAGGGCCAUCGAUCAGGUCCACUUGGCUGGAAACGACGACUCGCCCCGGUCUGCAAACACUCGACUGCCUUUGCCGAAAGCCUCGCGCUCGCCUCCAGCCACACACAUUUGCCAUUGGAGAGGCCGGCGCCGGCCGCGACCCGCAGCUCAAUCGCAGGGCAAACCGAGCUGCCUGUGCGCGCCCGAGAACUCCCCGAGAAAUUAACUUCGGCUCAAGUGAAAAUAGCAGCUGUUGUCCAGAAAUGGCCCGGGAGUAGCAUAGAAAGGAGAAACCGGCUUCCUCCGAAAGGGGAGGAAUUGGACUCAAGGGGGUGCUGUCUACCGUGGUUUCCGCUGUCCCUCGCGCCACAGAAGAGGCCGGAGGGGGACCGGCCUGACGCGGGUGGGCAAAGAGCGGGCAGAGAACUCACCAGCAGCUGCAGAAAACACAGCCGAGUUGCUAGCUAAGGGGAAACAGACGCCGCUGUGGGAAAGCACUUGUAAACAGCAGUAACUUAUUAAAUCUUGUGACAAUCUCACACAGUAAGUUACUAUGCCCGUUUUACCAUGGAAACCAAGAGAGGUUUAGUAACUGUCCGAAGAUCACACAGUUAUAAGUGGUGGAUCCUGUGAAGCCAAGAAGCCUUAGCUCCCGGCUCAUGCUCUUAAAUCCUAGGAUGUUUUUACUUUUCAACCUAGCAUCUCCUUUCUCUGAUAUGAUCCUCCAUGGUAGAGUUGUCAGACUUAACAAAUAAAUAUAGACAUCCACGGGGAGGAAGUUAGUACUAAAAAAUCAUUCAUUUUUAAAUCUGAAAUUCAAAUCGGAUCUCCUGACUGGGUUUGGAGCUCUAGGCUCCUCCCCAUAACCUCUGUUAGCCACGCCAAUCAAGUUAGAGCCUAAAUAAAUCAGAAAAACCUUGCACUUGCUUUUCCAAGUCAGGUGCUGGCCCUACCUUUGGCAUCACUGAUAAGGCUGAACAGCUCCCACCUUCUUUGCCCUGGGACAGAAUGUCAGGCUUCACCAUCAUAGACCGAAAAAUAAUGGAGACCCCUCUCCUUCCGCCUCAUCUCUGCAGAAGGACAUAUAUAUCAUUUAGAAUUUUCUAGUAGUGGCAUUAGAAAGUAAAAAGAAA
rnacentral:lncRNA from 1 species